rnacentral:rRNA from 1 species
CAGUAGCCGCGGGAAUACGAGGGGGGCAAGCGUUGUCCGGAAUUAUUGGGCGUAAAGGGCUCGCAGGCGGUUUCUUAAGUCUGAUGUGAAAGCCCCCGGCUCAACCGGGGAGGGUCAUUGGAAACUGGGAAACUUGAGUGCAGAAGAGGAGAGUGGAAUUCCACGUGUAGCGGUGAAAUGCGUAGAGAUGUGGAGGAACACCAGUGGCGAAGGCGACUCUCUGGUCUGUAACUGACGCUGAGGCGCGAAAGCGUGGGGAGCAAACAGGAUUAGAUACCCGCGUAGUCCCUGUCUCUUAUAC